rnacentral:misc_RNA from 1 species
GAACUGCGAUAAGUAAUGUGAAUUGCAGAAUUCAGUGAAUCAUCGAGUCUUUGAACGCACAUUGCGCCCCCUGGCAUUCCGGGGGGCAUGCCUGUCCGAGCGUCAUUGCUGCCCUUCAAGCCCGGCUUGUGUGUUGGGUCGUCGUCCCCUCCGGGGGACGGGCCCGAAAGGCAGCGGCGGCACCGCGUCCGGUCCUCGAGCGUAUGGGGCUUUGUCACCCGCUCGAUAAGGACCGGCCGGGCGUCAGCCGGCGUCUCCAACCUUUUUUUCUCAGGUUGACCUCGGAUCAGGUAGGGAUACCCGCUGAACUUAAGA